GAUGAAGAACGCAGCGAAAUGCGAUAAGUAAUGUGAAUUGCAGAAUUCAGUGAAUCAUCGAAUCUUUGAACGCACAUUGCGCCCGCCAGUAUUCUGGCGGGCAUGCCUGUUCGAGCGUCAUUUCAACCCUCAAGCCCCCGGGCUUGGUGUUGGGGAUCGGCGUGCCCUCGCGGCGCGCCGUCCCCUAAAUCUAGUGGCGGUCUCGCUGUAGCUUCCUCUGCGUAGUAGCAACACUCGCACUGGANNNNAGCGCGGCCACGCCGUUAAACCCCCCACUUCUGAAAGUUUGACCUCGGAUCAGGUAGGAAUACCCGCUGAACUUAAGCAUAUCAAUAAGCGGAGGA
rnacentral:misc_RNA from 1 species